UCAAGCUAAUAAGAGCACAGGGUGGAUGCCCAGGCACCAAACGCCGAUGAAAGACGUGGCAAGCUGCGAAAAGUCACGGGGAACCGCAAGCAGGUAUUGAUCCGUGAACGUCUGAAUGGGGAAACCCGGCGGGUUAACAGCCCGUCACUAUUAACUGAAUCAAUAGGUUAAUAGGGGGAACGCGGGGAACUGAAACAUCUCAGUACCCGUAGGAAGAGAAAAUAAAGAAUGAUUUCCUAAGUAGCGGCGAGCGAACGGGAAAGAGGCCAAACCGAAGGGCUUGCUCUUCGGGGUUGUGGAUCAGCAAAAAGGACGGAAGACCUUAGCAGAAGAGGAUUGGAAAGUCCCGCCAGAGAGGGUAAAAGCCCCUUACGCGAAAAGGUCAAACGACGAGCUGACACCAGAGUACCGCAGGACACGAGAAAUCCGGUGGGAAGCCGGGAGGACCACCUCCCAAGCCUAAAUACGAAUUGGUGACCGAUAGCGCAUAGUACCGUGAGGGAAAGGUGAAAAGAACCCCGGGAGGGGAGUGAAAAAGAACCUGAAACCCUGUGUUUACAAGCAGUGAAAGUGCGAGUUAGGCACGAUCACGUACUUUUUGUAGAACGGACCGGCGAGUUACGUUAUGCAGCAAGGUUAAGAACUGAAGGUUCGGAGCCGAAGCGAAAGCGAGUCUGAAUAGGGCGAUAGUUGCAUGACGUAGACCCGAAACCGGGUGACCUAUCCAUGAGCAGGUUGAAGUGGAGGUAAAGCUCCAUGGAGGACCGAACCAGACGUCUGUUGAAAAAGGCGGGGAUGACUUGUGGAUAGGGGAGAAAUUCCAAUCGAACCCGGAGAUAGCUGGUUCUCCUCGAAAUAGCUUUAGGGCUAGCCUCAUGGAUCAUUGGUGGGGGUAGAGCACUGAAUGUGCGCGGGGGCCACAAAGCCUACCAAACGCUAUCAAACUACGAAUACCAUACAAUGCAGACCAUGGGAGUCAGUCCGCGAGAGAUAAGUUCCGCGGGCAAAAGGGGAACACCCCAGAUCAACCGCUAAGGUCCCCAAGUUCACGUUAAGUGGAGAAGGAUGUGGAAUUGCACAGACAACCAGGAUGUUGGCUCAGAAGCAGCCACACAUUUAAAGAGUGCGUAAUAGCUCACUGGUCGAGUGAUUGUGCGCCGAAGAUGUCCGGGGCUAAACGUGACACCGAAGCGAUGGGUGCAUCUGAAAGGAUGCGCGGUAGAGGAGCAAUGUGCAGAGGCAGAAGCCGUAUCGAGAGGCACGGUGGACACUGCACAAGAGAGAAUGCCGGUAUGAGUAGCGAGAGGCAUGCGAGAAACAUGCCCGUCGAAAGCCCAAGGUUUCCUGGGGAAGGUUCAUCCGCCCAGGGUAAGUCGGGGCCUAAGCCGAGGACGGAAGUCGUAGGCGAUGGACAGCAGGUGUAGAUUCCUGCACUACCGAUGGAAUGAAGCAGUGACACAGAAGGAUAACUCGAGCAGGGUGAUGGUCAACCCUGUGCAAGCAUCAAGGUUGGGUUGUAGUGAAGUACGCAAUCCUAUAAGCUGAGGUGUGAUGCGGACCGAAAUUUCAGUAGGGAAGCGAGUGAGUUCACGCUGGCGAGAAAAGCUGCUAGUACAUCCAAAGGUACCCGUACCGGAAACCGACGCAGGUGGGCGAGGAGAGAAUCCUGAGACGAACGGGAGAACCCUUGUUAAGGAACUCGGCAAAAUGACCCCGUAACUUCGGGAUAAGGGGUGCCUGCGAGAGCAGGCCGCAGAGAAUAGUCACAAGCGACUGUUUAGCAAAAACACAGGUAUCUGCGAAAGCGAGAGCUGACGUAUAGGUGCUGACACCUGCCCGGUGCUGGAAGGUUAAGGGAACAUGUUAGAGCAAUCGAAGCAUCGAACCGAAGCCCCAGUAAACGGCGGCCGUAACUAUAACGGUCCUAAGGUAGCGAAAUUCCUUGUCGGGUAAGUUCCGACCCG
rnacentral:rRNA from 1 species